rnacentral:misc_RNA from 1 species
GAUGAAGAACGUAGCGAAAUGCGAUACGUAAUGUGAAUUGCAGAUCUCUCAGUGAACCAUCGAAUUUUUGAACGCACAUUGCGCCCGCCAGUAUUCUGGCGGGCAUGCCUGUUCGAGCGUCAUUUCAACCAUCAAGCGCUUCGCUUGUGUUGGGGCCCUGCGGCUGCCGCAGGCCCCUAAAUCCAGUGGCGGGCUCGUCGUGGUACCGAGUGCAGUAAACAUCCUCGCUCAGGGAACCCGACGGGUGCCGGCCGUGAAACCCCCCCUCCUCAAGGUUGACCUCGGAUCAGGUAGGAAUACCCGCUGAACUUAAGCAUAUCAAUAAGCGGAGGA